AACGUAGGAGCCUAGCGUUAUCCGAAUUUACUGGGCGUAAAGCGCGUGCAGGCGGCUUGGUAAGUGGAUUGUGAAAUCUCCCGGCUCAACUGGGAGGGGACGGUCCAGACUGCCAGGCUGGAGGCAGGGAGAGGGAGGUGGAAUUCCCGGUGUAGUGGUGAAAUGCGUAGAGAUCGGGAGGAACACCAGUGGCGAAAGCGGCCUCCUGGCCCUGACCUGACGCUGAGAGGCGAAAGCUAGGGGAGCGAACGGGAUUAGAAACCCUAGUAGUCC
rnacentral:rRNA from 1 species